rnacentral:rRNA from 1 species
AUGUGCGCAUCACCACCACCGGCCGCGACCGCUGUCGUGCGGCUGGCCAAGCCGGCGUGCUGCUCGAGCACGAGCCAUCCCCACCACGCUAACCUCCGCUCCGCUACACCCGUGCUUGAGGAGCACUGCGUCAGCGCCCCCGCGCGCUGCUCCGUCCCCUGCGUCGUCGAGGCCCCGCCUCCUCACCCAGCCACGGCUGCGCUGCCGCCAACCCCGCCUACGCCACUACAGACGGCUCCGCCGCCCUGCCCCGGCAUCGCGUGUGCCCUGCCGCUGGCCCAGGCCGGCUCCAGUUCCGCACCCUGUGGGCCCUGCCGACUGCGCCUUCUCCAUCUCUGCUCCGGGGCCCCGCCGCUGGCCCGCCUCCCACGCGGCUCGGCCGGCUCCAGCGCCGCCCCGUUCAUGCUCGGCUGCGCCGGCUGCAGCUCCUGCCCGGCGCCUCGCGAUGGCAGCUUGCACCGUGUCUCCGUCCAGCUGGCUGGCCAUCUAGGCCGCCCGCUAGCUAUGCCUGUGCAGCGCCGGUCCCGGGUCGCCGCGACCGCACCCCGGAUUUGCCAGCCUCCGGCUGCGGCUGCUCCUCGCGGGAGCCCCGGUUGCCCACGCCAGGCACGACCUCCGCGCGACCCGGCUUCUCCGCAUCCCGCGCCGGCGCCGGGUGGCCGACUGCUCCGCGCCGGGCUCCGCCCGUUGCCGGCUGGCCUGCGCCCGACUCGUCCUCGACUCGGUCUCUCCGCGACGCGCUCCACCGCUGCGUUGCCUCGCCGAGCUGACCCUUCGCCGCUUCACCACGGCCUCGGCUGGCUUGUUCCGACGUCCCGGAGGUUACCCGCGCGCCGGGCCGGCGCCCGGCUGUCCGGCUUCGCCCGUCUCCGCCUUGCCCCCUCCGGCCAGCUGGCUCCGUCUCUGGCCGCGUCCGGGUCCUCCGCGCAAGCCGGCUUCCGACCUGGCCGCCUGCAGCUUCCGAACGCGCCGGCCACCGCUGCACACUCGAGCUCGCACCGUCCUGGGCCGACUGCUGCCCCGCUGCCGUGUCCAGCCUCCGGCUCGCAGCCCGCGGCACCUGCGCCCUGUGCGUCCGCCCAGAUGGCUGGGAGUAAAAAGAAAAAGGAAAAAAAUGGGGGGUGGAGUCCGGCUACUCGCAUGGAGUCGGAUAAAAGAAGUGGCCGAGUGCCCACAGCCGACUGCUGGGUCAAAAACAAAGAGAGAAAAGAAGUCGGCUGGGACAAAGAGAAGAAAAGGCAAACCCGUCUGGAUGACCCGUCCAUCUGCUUCGCCACUUGGACGGUCAGUCAUGACCCGCACUGCCGGCUGUGCCAAGCCGGCUGGACUGCCUCCUGCUCUGACGACACACCCAGUGGAUGCGCCAAAGCGCCCCCGCGAAGAAAGAGAAGACAAAGUAGUUGCCGGGAGAUCCGGCCCAACUGCUCAGCAGUCGGCCCGAAUCUCGGGGGCUACACCCAGCGGGUGCGCUGA